GUAAUCUCUUAUCAGGUGCUGACCAAUAGUUCAAGAAAACUUGCCUUGCAGCAGAUGAAAGAAUAUUAAGUUUUAGUAUUACCAAAGUACACAAUUGGUAUUAAAGUUUACAAACAGAAAAUCAAAACCUGUAAGAAAUACAUCCAAUUUUAGCUAAUUAAAAUUACACAAGAUGUUUUUAGUUACAAAAACUUGUUUAAAGGACAAGCUGCUGGAAAACACAAAGAGUUGUUAUGUCAUUAACCUCAAAGGUUAACAUGUAUAUCUGCUUAAUAAAGAGAUAUUUGCAUCUUUCCUCAGUCCUUUUACAUCUUAAAUGAAGAGAAAUUGGAGUUGUCUUAAAAGAUAAAUGGGUAUGUAUACUAGCUGCAGAAUUGGAUGAAAAGUGUUUCAAAUGGAAGAAACCAUGUGAGCAAAGUCCUUAGGUGAGAGACUGCUGAAGAUAUAUUGGAGGAAUGGAU
rnacentral:lncRNA from 1 species